rnacentral:rRNA from 1 species
ACCAGCGGCGAUAGCACGUUGAAUACACCAGUUCCCCACGGAUCACUGAAGUUAAGCAAUGUUGCACGCGGUUAGUACAUGGAUGUUGACCAUCGGGGUACUUGCAUGCUGCUGGGU